CUUGAUCGACCCGAGCCACAGCGGCCGGUCGGCGGGGCGGCCCGCACCGUAGGUGGCGAUCAGCGCUUGCGCCUC
rnacentral:antisense_RNA from 1 species